UGCGUAGGCGGUUUGAUAAGUCAGUUGUGAAAUUCCCCGGCUUAACCGGCGGGACUGCGAUUGUUACUGUCAAACUUGAAUCAGGUUGAGGUAGGCGGAAUGUGGCAUGUAGCGGUGAAAUGCAUAGAUAUGCCAUAGAACACCGAUUGCGAAGGCAGCUUGCUGGACCUUGAUUGACGCUGAGGCACGAAAGCGUGGGGAGCGAACAGGAUUAGAUACCCUGGUAGUCC
rnacentral:rRNA from 1 species